ACCAUAAAUAGAAGUGUAUACCUCCGUUGAAAGACGUCUGAAAUACGAACUGGUCUAUCGAAAAGAUAGAACAAAUAAGGAUCAUGAAGCUAGUGUUGCCUUUAUCCGAAGUACCCUGAAGACUGCAAAGUAUUGCAUUGCUUGUGCUGCUCCGAUGAUUUGCUCUACACCAGUUGAUCAGAUUCAGCAUAAUAUAUAAGAUUGAUUUAUCACCACUGUCCUAAGGAUACGACAUUUCCUUGAGUUCCACAUAUAUUUCAAGAUAUGUUACCUGUCGAUCAGGGAUCGGCACAUAUUCACAUUUUGUUAGUACGUUUGUGGGCGUAGUCACCAGCCAACAGGAAAAUACCUCUUCCGAUCAUUAUAACAACAGAGGUUGUUUUGUUCGAGAAUAAAAUGCAUAAGAUAAAAGUAAAUUAAAAAUCAAAUAUAAUAAGAAAGAUUUUUUCUGCUAAGAUUUUAUAA